UGCCGGGUCGCCUAGUGGUAAGGGCCAGGGGGGCGAUUACUCCUGAGCGCGGGUUCGAAUCCCGUCCCGGCAUCCA
rnacentral:tRNA from 1 species